AAAGUACUCCCUCCGUUCAGCAUUAAGUGUCGCAACUUUGUCUAGGUACGCAUGUAUCAAGACACAUUUUAGUAUGUAGAUACAUGCGUAUUGAGAUAAAAUUGCGACACUUAAUACCGAACGGAGGGAGUAGCAC
rfam:Brachypodium distachyon strain Bd21 chromosome 2, whole genome shotgun sequence.